UCCAGACUCCUACGGGAGGCAGCAGUGAGGGAUAUUGGUCAAUGGGAGGAACCCUGAACCAGCAACGCCGCGUGAGGGAAGACGGUUUUCGGAUUGUAAACCUCUGUCCUCUGUGAAGAUAAUGACGGUAGCAGAGGAGGAAGCUCCGGCUAACUACGUGCCAGCAGCCGCGGUAAUACGGAGGAUGCGAGCGUUAUCCGGAUUUAUUGGGUUUAAAGGGUGCGCAGGCGGCACGGCAAGCCGGCGGUAAAAUCGGGGGGCUCAACCUCGCUCCGCCGUUGAAACUGGCGUUCUUGAGUGGGCGAGAAGUAUGCGGAAUGCGUGGUGUAGCGGUGAAAUGCAUAGAUAUCACGCAGAACUCCGAUUGCGAAGGCAGCAUACCGGCGCCCAACUGACGCUGAAGCACGAAAGCGUGGGUAUCGAACAGGAUUAGAUACCCCGGUA
rnacentral:rRNA from 1 species